AUUGAACGCUGGCGGCAGGCUUAACACAUGCAAGUCGAACGAGUGGCGGACGGGUGAGUAAUGCUUGGGAAUCUAGCUUAUGGAGGGGGAUAACUACGGGAAACUGUAGCUAAUACCGCGUACCAUAGGAUGAGCCCAAGUGGGAUUAGGUAGUUGGUGAGGUAAAGGCUCACCAAGCCGACGAUCUCUAGCUGGUCUGAGAGGAUGACCAGCCACACGGGGACUAAGAGACGGCCCAGACUCAGACGGGAGGCAGCAGUGGGGAAUAUUGCGGAAGGGGGGAAAUCUGACGCAGACAUGCGGCGUGAAGGAAGAAGGCCGUCGGGUUGUAAAGGACUUUCGGUAGCGAGGCGUUAACUACAGAAGAAGCAACGGCUAACUCCGUGCCAGCAGCCGCGGUAAUAC
rnacentral:rRNA from 1 species